rnacentral:rRNA from 1 species
CGGACGGGCGAGUAAUGUCUGGGAAACUGCCCGAUGGAGGGGGGUAACUACUGGAAACGGUAGCUAAUACCGCAUAACGUCGCAAGACCAAAGAGGGGACCUUCGGGCCUCUUGCCAUCGGAUGUGCCCAGAUGGGAUUAGCUAGUAGGUGGGGUAACGGCUCACCUAGGCGACGAUCCCUAGCUGGUCUGAGAGGAUGACCAGCCACACUGGAACUGAGACACGGUCCAG